CCUACGGUGAGCAGCAGUGGGGAAUAUUGCACAAUGGGGGAAACCCUGAUGCAGCGACGCCGCGUGAGUGAAGAAGUACUUCGUUAUGUAAAGCUCUAUCAGCAGGGAAGAAAAUGACGGUACCUGAGUAAGAAGCCCCGGCUAACUACGUGCCAGCAGCCGCGGUAAUACGGAGGGGGCAAGCGUUAUCCGGAUUUACUGGGUGUAAAGGGAGCGUAGACGGCAGUGCAAGUCUGGAGUGAAAGGCGGGGGCCCAACCCCCGGACUGCUCUGGAAACUGGACGGCUGGAGUGCAGGAGAGGUAAGGGGAAUUCCUAGUGUAGCGGUGAAAUGCGUAGAGAGUAGGAGGAACACCAGUGGCGAAGGCGGCUUACUGGACUGUAACUGACGUUGAGGCUCGAAAGCGUGGGGAGCAAACAGGAUUAGAUACCCCUGUAGUC
rnacentral:rRNA from 1 species